AAAAAAUAAUUACAAUUUCUGUUUCAGUUUAAUGCAUCGACAUUUAUUUCAUUUAUAGUUCAGAAACUAGAACAACAUGUUUCUUCAAUUUGAGCAUUUUAAAAUUCAUUACACUUCAUCACCAUUCUCAUGAAGUGUCCAAGAUGCCCAACCCCCCCCCAAAAAAAAACACAAUCAAAAUGACUGUUCAAUGUUUAUUAUCCCACCAAAUUUCAGACUUUUGAACAGCCUCACUGGAUUAUACCAUGGUGCUUUACUGUUUUAAUCUCAGUCACAUUCUUUUCAGAGCCACAAUAUAAAAUAUAAACUGAAUCAAUUGCCUCCUGGAACAUGGGGGGUGUCUCCUCAAAAAAAAGUUAUAUAAUUAUAGAGAAUUCAGUAGUCAAUAAGUUAAUAAAUUUACCUCAAAAUUCCAUGUCUGAAACCGACUUGGGACUAUUCUUUCAAAUGAUGACAAAAGUUAAUAAAUGAAUAUGAAUGUUUCUUCAAUAUCAUCUCUGCGAAACGUUGCAUUAAAUGAACCAAUUAAUACCCAUAGUUCAUUCAUACAUACAUGAACAUUGUAAAUCAUUUUCCAUGCAGUCCAUUAAUUUCAAAUUUACAAUAUAUACAAUUUUACUUCUAGCCAAUAGCAAAAAUAAUUUCAAAUAAAUAAUCGCAAAUGAGUUUGCUUUGAUUCUAAUUAAUGCACUAUCGAUAGCAGCGUACGAUGCUGAUUGGUAAAUAAGGCCGAUUGGUUAAAGACAAAAGAAAUUCAAUUACAUUUGAAAAAAAAUUAUAUUGUAUAAAAAGAAAUUGAAAUUGGAUAAAGAAAAGGGAGUAGAAAAUAUGUUUACAUAGGAACUUAGAUUUUGUUUCAUUGUAGGACGGAACAUUUGGCAGUAGUUGCGUCUAAGCAGGAGAGAAAAAACAGAAAAAGACGAAAAAAAACCUGUUCAUUAAGGCCAUCGCAAACCUUAAAAUUGGUCUGCAACCCGAAUUUGGAAUAAAAAAGUGAAAUUUGAUGUGAAUAUAGAGACAUGGAAUAUCUUACUUUGUAAUGUUCUAAACCAUUGUAUGAAUACCUUUGUUCAAAUCAGUGACUAUGCUUUCAUCCUUAUUGGAAUAAAAUUAAAUUUAAUAUCUGUCGUCAUAGCAAUCGUACGAUUUGAAACCACUUUGGCCUUUACUCCAAAAUAAAGGUUUGCAAUCAUCAAAAAAUUGUUAUAAUGGUAUUCUUUUGGUUAAUUUGAACCUCUAAUAAAAAGAUACUUUUAAUUCACAUUUUCAAAGAAUGA